CAACCACCCAGCUUCUCUCCAGAUGGCAUCCCAUCAUCCGCAGCAUCUCUCAACCUUUAUCUCCUAUCUCCUGCCUCAUCUCCUUCCUAAGUAAAGAACACCUUCCAACUCAACAUAAGGCAGCUACAGGUUGGAGUGCAAUGGCGCAAUCUUGGCUCACGACAACCUCCGCCUCCCGGGUAUAAGUGAUUCUCCUGCCUCGGCCUCCCGAGUAGCUGAGAUUACAGUUUACCAAAGUGCUUGUUACAGUGAAAAACACAGCCCACAGGCACUGAGGUGGGACUACAGAACCUUGCUGGACCACAUCUUUUCAGCACAUUUCUGUGACCCUCUGUUUUUGAUGGAGAAAACAA
rnacentral:lncRNA from 10 species